rnacentral:rRNA from 1 species
GUCUAAGUAUAAACGAUUUAAUCGUGAAACCGCGAAUGGCUCAUUAUAACAGCUAUAAUUUACUUGAUCUUGACACAAUCCUACUUGGAUAACUGUGGUAAUUCUAGAGCUAAUACAUGCAUUAAAGCUCUGACCUCACGGGAAGAGUGCAUUUAUUAGAACAAAACCAAGCGGCUUCGGCUGUUUCUGGUUGACUCAUAGUAACUGAGCUGAUCGCAUGGUCUUGCACCGGCGACGUGUCUUUCAAGUAUCUGCCGUAUCAACUUUCGAUGGUAGUGUAUCUGACUACCAUGGUGAUCACGCGUAACGGAGAAUAAGGGUUCGGCUCCGGAGAGUUCGCCUGAGAAAUCGCGAACACAUCUAAGGAAGGCAGCAGGCGCGAAAAUUACCCACUCUCAGCACGAGGAGGUAGUGACGAAAAAUAACGAGACCGUUCUCUUAUGAGGCCGGUCAUCGGAAUGGGUACAAUUUAAACCCUUUAACGAGUAUCUAUGAGAGGGCAAGUCUGGUGCCAGCAGCCGCGGUAAUUCCAGCUCUCAAAGUGCAUAGAAUUAUUGCUGCGGUUAAAAAGCUCGUAGUUGGAUCUGUGCCAUAGGACGUGGUCCACCUUCGGGUGCGUACUACGCUCCUAGGCUUUUUGCUGGUUUUCCCGUCGUAGCCUUCACUGGUUGCGGCGGGUGGCUGGCGAGUUUACUUUGAGAAAAUCAGAGUGCUCAAUACAGGCGUAUCGCUUGAAUGAUUGUGCAUGGAAUAAUAGAAAAGGAUUUCGGUCCUCUUUUAUUGGUUUUGUGGACUGAGAUAAUGGUUAACAGGGACAAACGGGGGCAUUCGUAUCUCUGCGUGAGAGGUGAAAUUCUUGGACCGUAGAGAGACGCCCUACUG